GGGGCCUUAGCUCAGCUGGGAGAGCACCUGCUUUGCAAGCAGGGGGUCAUCAGUUCGAAUCUGAUAGGCUCCACCA
rnacentral:tRNA from 2 species